GCAUUGGUAGCUUAGCUGAACAAGCAUCAGUCUUGUAAACUGAGAACGAAGGUUGAAGUCCUUCCCAACGCU
rnacentral:tRNA from 1 species